rnacentral:snRNA from 1 species
CAAUAUGGCUGCAACAUCUGUCAUCCCAUUGAAUACCAGGGUUUAUUCUGCUGAUCUUGCUGGCUAAGGGGUGUCCUCUUCCUCCCUCCCACUUCAUCCACUAUCCCAGAUAGGAAUAUAGUGAUCUUUGGUCAAGGGUCAAGAGUAUACUAGAGCUGAGCUUCCCUACUAGAACCUCCAGACAAACAUGCCUCUUUGAAGGCAUCUUCAUUCUGAUAACUGAUAACUGAGUGUAACUGACAGUUAUCUGGAUGGAUGAAGUGAUAAAGCCAUUAGAAUUCCCAAGUUAAUGAAAGGCCAUCCUU